rnacentral:rRNA from 1 species
GACGAACGCUGGCGGCGUGCUUAACACAUGCAAGUCGAACGGAAAGGCCUGCUUUCCCUUGUGGAUUGCGGGUACUCGAGUGGCGAACGGGUGAGUAACACGUGAGUGAUCUGCCCCCAACUUGGGUAUAAGCCUGGGAAACUGGGUCUAAUUCCCGAUAGGACUGCAGGGUGGUGCCUGUGGUGGAAAACGAUUUUCUAGUGGUUGGGGAUGAGCUCGCGGCCUAUCGGCCUGUUGGUGGGGUAAUGGCCUACCAAGGCGGCGACGGGUAGCCGGCCUGAGAGGGUGGACGGCCACAUUGGGACUGAGAUACGGCCCAGACUCCUACGGGAGGCAGCAGUGGGGAAUAUUGCACAAUGGGCGGAAGCCUGAUGCAGCGACGCCGCGUGGGGGAUGACGGCCUUCGGGUUGUAAACUCCUUUCGACCGCGAGGAAGCCACCUGGUUGGAAGGGUGGUGACGGUAGUGGUAGAAGAAGCACCGGCUAACUACGUG